rnacentral:rRNA from 1 species
ACUCCUACGGGAGGCAGCAGUGGGGAAUUUUGGAUAAUGGGCGCAAGCCUGAUCCAGCCAUGCCGCGUGUCUGAAGAAGGCCUUCGGGUUGUAAAGGACUUUUGUCAGGGAAGAAAAGGAUAGGGUUAAUACCCCUGUCUGAUGACGGUACCUGAAGAAUAAGCACCGGCUAACUACGUGCCAGCAGCCGCGGUAAUACGUAGGGUGCGAGCGUUAAUCGGAAUUACUGGGCGUAAAGCGAGCGCAGACGGUUACUUAAGCAGGAUGUGAAAUCCCCGGGCUCAACCUGGGAACUGCGUUCUGAACUGGGUGACUAGGGCUUGUCAGAAGGAGGUAGAAUUCCACGUGUAGCAGUGAAAUGCGUAGAGAUGUGGAGGAAUAUCGAUGGCGAAGGCAGCCUCCUGGGAUAACACUGACGUUCAUGCUCGAAAGCGUGGGUAGCAAACAGGAUUAGAAACCCCGGUAGUCCAGAAGUG